rnacentral:lncRNA from 1 species
UGGCCCUCUCUUUCGCUCUUUGAGCAUCUCAGCUUCGAGUUUAGAUUUCUUUGCCUCUUUGGCUAAUUCGUGGGAGCUUUCAAUAUACCUAUUCAAGUAAUGGGUAAGCUGGUCAGUAAAGAAAAACUUAUAAGUAAUAAAUGAAUAUGCAGUAAGUGCUAAAUGAGAAAGUCUCAAUAUAUCCGGAUGAGGUAAUCUACCGCUCUUCUCCUCAUCUCCCUCUAAAAAAUAUUCAGUAACUCAUUCACGUUGGUAGGAAGGAGC